GUUUGAUGAGCUGUCCAACCAUGUCCCAGAGCGAUGAUCACUGGCAAAGGGGGGUUAUGCUUCACUACUCUUUUGUGACUACUUAUGUGCAUCUCAGUUCCAAUUGUGCUGGAGUGUGUGGGAGGUUUGAACAGGUCUCUUGUAUUCUUUCACCUUCAGACCAGAAACCUUUGAACUCUUCACUCCAUCAUCACUCUUUCUGGGCGUAAAUAAGCGACACAACAAGGACUUGGUCCAGGUGUCACAGAGUGUCAGAGACUCUUUUUCAAGCUAAACUGACUGUAUGCUGAAAUUGCUUCUGCUUCAUUGCACAAAAGGGACCACAGGCUACAGCUGGACAUUAUCUUCCAGGUCUUGUGGCCACUAAUAUCCCUGUGAAGAUGAUCUGCAGAGAACAGGUGAACAUUUAGUAAGUUCACCAUACAAGCCCAAAGGUAUCACUCAUACCUGAAGAACGUCUCUACUGCUGUGUCUCUAAAGCAGAAGAGCCACCUCUCUGCUCUGAAAAGGCGAUAACCUGAUUACAAACAACAAGAAAACAACAUUACAUUGUUUGAACAGGUGUAACCCUCACUAAGAGUCCGUGCUGCCCUAGAUUCAGGCAGCUGCACCGUUUCUGUCUGUAAAUAGGUUUAUUACAGUUUCUUUUAAGAUGUUGUGAGUAAAUAAAUAGUUUUCAUGAGGA